rnacentral:rRNA from 1 species
AUUGAACGCUGGCGGCAUGCUUUACACAUGCAAGUCGAACGGUAACAGGCCGCAAGGUGCUGACGAGUGGCGAACGGGUGAGUAAUGCAUCGGAGCGUGCCCAGUCGUGGGGGAUAACGCAGCGAAAGCUGUGCUAAUACCGCAUACGAUCUAUGGAUGAAAGCGGGGGACCGUAAGGCCUCGCGCGAUUGGAGCGGCCGAUGUCAGAUUAGGUAGUUGGUGGGGUAAAGGCCUACCAAGCCGACGAUCUGUGGCUGGUCUGAGAGGACGACCAGCCACACUGGGACUGAGACACGGCCCAGACUCCGACGGGAGGCAGCAGUGGGGAAUUUUGGACAAGGGGCGCAAGCCUGAUCCAGCAAUGCCGCGUGCAGGAAGAAGGCCUUCGGGUUGUAAACUGCUUUUGUACGGAACGAAACGGUCUGGGUUAAUACCCUGGGCUAAUGACGGUACCGUAAGAAUAAGCACCGGCUAACUACGUGCCAGCAGCCGCAGUAAGAC